UGGGGAAUAUUGCACAAUGGGCGCAAGCCUGAUGCAGCCAUGCCGCGUGUGUGAAGAAGGCCUUCGGGUUGUAAAGCACUUUCAGCGGGGAGGAAGGCGAUAAGGUUAAUAACCUCAUCGAUUGACGUUACCCGCAGAAGAAGCACCGGCUAACUCCGUGCCAGCAGCCGCGGUAAUACGGAGGGUGCAAGCGUUAAUCGGAAUUACUGGGCGUAAAGCGCACGCAGGCGGUCUGUCAAGUCGGAUGUGAAAUCCCCGGGCUCAACCUGGGAACUGCAUUCGAAACUGGCAGGCUAGAGUCUCGUAGAGGGGGGUAGAAUUCCAGGUGUAGCGGUGAAAUGCGUAGAGAUCUGGGGGAAUACCGGUGGCGAAGGCGGCCCCCUGGACGAAGACUGACGCUCAGGUGCGAAAGCGUGGGGAGCAAACAGG
rnacentral:rRNA from 1 species